CGGUGGUGCUUGCACUACCUGAUUAGUGGCGAACGGGUGAGUAACACGUGAGUAACCUGCCCCUCACUUCGGGAUAACCUCGGGAAAUCGUGGCUAAUACCGGAUAUGAACUUCUACCGCAUGGUGGUUGUUGGAAAGAUUUAUCGGUGGGGGAUGGACUCGCGGCCUAUCAGCUUGUUGGUGAGGUAAUGGCUCACCAAGGCGAUGACGGGUAGCCGGCCUGAGAGGGCGACCGGCCACACUGGGACUGAGACACGGCCCAGACUCCUACGGGAGGCAGCAGUGGGGAAUAUUGCACAAUGGGCGAAAGCCUGAUGCAGCGACGCCGCGUGGGGGAUGACGGCCUUCGGGUUGUAAACCCCUUUCAGUAGGGAAGAAGCGAAAGUGACGGUACCUGCAGAAGAAGCGCCGGCUAACUACGUGCCAGCAGCCGCGGUAAUACGUAGGGCGCAAGCGUUGUCCGGAAUUAUUGGGCGUAAAGAGCUCGUAGGUGGCUUGUCGCGUCUGCCGUGAAAACCCGAGGCUCAACCUCGGGCGUGCGGUGGGUACGGGCAGGCUAGAGUGUGGUAGGGGAGACUGGAACUCCUGGUGUAGCGGUGAAAUGCGCAGAUAUCAGGAAGAACACCGAUGGCGAAGGCAGGUCUCUGGGCCAUUACUGACACUGAGGAGCGAAAGCAUGGGUAGCGAACAGGAUUAGAUACCCUGGUAGUCCAUGCCGUAAACGUUGGGCACUAGGUGUGGGGGACAUU
rnacentral:rRNA from 1 species